rnacentral:rRNA from 1 species
AACGAACGCUGGCGGCGUGGUUUAGGCAUGCAAGUCGAACGAGAAACAGGGGGCGAACUCCUGAAGUACAGUGGCGAAAGGGUGAGUAAUACCUAGACAAUCUACCCUCGAGCCUGGGACAACAGCUGGAAACGGCUGCUAAUACCGGGUGGUAAGCGUGUGGCUCCGGCCGUGCGCUUUAAAGACGGGGACCCUUCGGGCCUGUCGCUCGAGGAGGGGUUUAGGCUCCAUCAGCUAGUUGGUAGGGNGACGGCCUACCAAGGCUACGACGGAUAGCCGGCCUGAGAGGGUGUCCGGCCACACU